rnacentral:misc_RNA from 1 species
GAUGAAGAACGCAGCGAAAUGCGAUAAGUAAUGCGAAUUGCAGAUCUCCGUGAGUCAUUGAAUCUUUGAACGCACAUUGCGCCCUCGGGUAUUCCCGAGGGCAUGCCUGUCCGAGCGUCAUUACAACCCUCAAGCUCAGCUUGGUGUUGGGCCCCGCCGCCCCGGCGGGCCCUAAAGUCAGUGGCGGUGCCGUCCGGCUCCGAGCGUAGUAAUUCUUCUCGCUCUGGAGGUCCGGUCGUGUGCUCGCCAGCAACCCCCAAUUUUUUUCAGGUUGACCUCGGAUCAGGUAGGGAUACCCGCUGAACUUAAGCAUAUCAAUAAGCGGAGGA